rnacentral:rRNA from 1 species
GUCCUGGCCCUAAACGAUGUCCACUAGAUCGUGGCAGCUCUGACGUUGUCAUGGUCGAAGCAAAAGUGCUAAGUGGACCGCCUGGGAAGUACGGUCGCAAGGCUAAAACUCAAAGGAAUUGACGGGGGGCUCACACAAGCGGUGGAGCAUGUGGUUCAAUUCGAAGCAACGCGCAGAACCUUACCUGGGCUUGACAUGCCAGGAUUAUCCCUGUGAAAGCAGGGUAGGCCCUUCGGGGUACAACUGGUACAGGUGCUGCAUGGCUGUCGU